rnacentral:rRNA from 1 species
UACGUAGGGUGCAGGCGUUAAUCGGAAUUACUGGGCGUAAAGCGUGCGCAGGCGGUCUUUUAAGUCAGAUGUGAAAUCCCCGGGCUUAACCUGGGAGCUGCGUUUGAAACUGGAAGGCUUGAGUGUGGCAGAGGGGGGUGGAAUUCCACGUGUAGCAGUGAAAUGCGUAGAGAUGUGGAGGAACACCGAUGGCGAAGGCAGCCCCCUGGGCUAACACUGACGCUCAUGCACGAAAGCGUGGGGAGCAAUCAGG